CCUGAGAGCCCCACGCGGGUGGCUUCCCUAGACCCUGCCGCGGGACUCGGCCCAGGGAUGCGUAGAUUCAACCUACACUGUUUAGAGGGUGGAGGGGUGCAGAACGUUGCUCUGUGGAGGAGGGUCUGGGAAGUCACUGUCUGCAUCCUCAGUGCAAAGGAGAACCAGCUCUGCCGCUGCCUGUCACCACUCUGUCAUCUGGAAUGAAGGGUCCAUCAAAGGCAAAGCCUUGCGGGAACAAGUUUCUGCCACCAAACAGUCAAGGAUAUGGAGACUGAGAGUCAGUCCCAUCAGGCAGCACUGGCAGCUGGAAAACACACUAGCGACCUCCAGUCCUGAAACACUAGCUCAAGGAAGAGACUAAAACCUAGAGAGAGCUUAGGACCGUUCUUCAAUAUCCUCCUACCUCUUGUAUCCAUAAGGCUGAGCAAAGUAUAAAAAGCAAAUGCAAAAUUUGAUCCCAAGGAUUGGCUGAACGUCCGUGCUGGUAAAGUUAUACCCUUUUCAUAGAAAGCCUUGGUCAGGAAGCCGUAGGACCCAGAAAAGAACAGGGAUCUAGGGGAGGAUUCAAAGAGCUUGGCGUUUUCUGAAUUCUGCAUCCUCAAAGAGCAUCCUUUGUCAGCUGAAGCAACCCCCUGCCUUCGGUCCUCUGAAACACUUCUUGAAGACCCUGUAAUCGCUCUCAAUGAAGGAGCCACUCUGCGAGGGGGACAGUUUUCCUUCUGCACUGCCCUGUAUUGUCUCCGGAAAUGAUACGAGGCAUAUCCCAGCAUGCUCCCAAAGGAAGGGGAGCGGCAAACUCAACCCGGAGAGCGUAAGGAUUUGAAGCCAACAUUUUCUAAUUUUACUGACAAACUUGGGGAAAAUGUAGGAAUAGAUUUUUAGGGUACUCAACAAAGGAGGGAGGAACAUAAUUCUAAAUUAGCCUGAAUUCAUCGACGUCUGAUUGUAAGAGAGAUUCUGGGUUUGCCGUACUGGUGUGAGAAGUGUGAGAACAUAGAACACCAGGUGAUUUUCCCUAAGGUUUUGCAUGUCACCCGUGAGCCGAGCUGUCCAUUAUGUAUGGGAACACUCAAAGUUCCAUUACCAAUUGGAAAGGGUUUAUACGCAACUGGGCCGUGGCCCUGGGACUGCUGAUACUCCAGGGUCACCCACCCACCAACUACUUAGUUCAAGAUUGAUUACUUUGGACCUCUUUCAUUAUGGAAAAGGUAGCGAUAUCACCUCACUAAAACAGGCUCGUAUAUGUGGGUCUGGAAUAGCACCUCUGUCUAUCCAAUCACUAGGGCAUUCUAUGGGAUACUACUUCUGACCAAAUACUUCACUUUACAGUCAAAGAGGGAAGGCAUUGGAUAGAUAUCCUUGUGAUUCGAGCCUAUCACGCAGGAGCGGUAAUGUGUUUUGAAUGGUGACUUGAAUUACUGAAGAUUUACUUUCAGGACUAGCUCUGAGGCAGUACCUAAUGAAGUUGAGGUAUUGUCCUUUAAGACAAGUGGUCCUUUAAGGACAAAUGUCCUUUAAGACAUUUCCCCAUAAGACAUUCUCCCCAUAGCCAGACUAAACAGAUCUAGAAGACGGUAGUGUGGGAAUGGUGCCUGAUCCAUUUUAUAUAGUAACUCACUCUCUUCACCUUUGGACCCCACCAAUUUAGAGUUUUUGAAUCCGAGAAGGGAAUGCUCUAUAUGGGGCAGCCGGCCCGUAGGGCAGCUCCCUUUGCAAAGGGGAAGUAUGAGGUUUCAUUGCAUGAUGGAGAUCUCCAUUAUCUAGCAGAAGUUUUGUUUAAGAGUGAACAGAGAAGUCUGAGUGUAUGGAGAUGUGGAACAGGGAAGGAGUGAGGCUGUAAUAAACAUAAUAAACCUUUUUUUUCUUCUUUUAGAGUC